rnacentral:rRNA from 1 species
GUCGAGAAUCUUUCACAAUGGGGGCAACCCUGAUGGAGCGACGCCGCGUGGAGGAUAAGGUCUUCGGAUUGUAAACUCCUGUCAUGCGUGAACAAGGUUGCUUGGUUAAUACGUGGGCAAAUUGAUGGUAACGCAAGAGGAAGAGACGGCUAACUCUGUGCCAGCAGCCGCGGUAAUACAGAGGUCUCAAGCGUUGUUCGGAAUCACUGGGCGUAAAGGGUGCGUAGGUGGCGUGGUAAGUCAGAUGUGAAAGCCCGGGGCUCAACCUCGGAACUGCAUCCGAUACUGCCAUGCUAGAGUACUGGAGAGGUGACUAGAAUUCUCGGUGUAGCAGUGAAAUGCGUAGAUAUCGAGAGGAAUACCAAAGGCGUAGGCAGGUCACUGGACAGUUACUGACACUGAGGCACGAAGGCCAGGGGAGCGAACGGGAUUAGAAACCCGAGUAGUCC